CCAGAACCCCCGGCAUAAAAAGUCUGCACUCCGUCAUCCUCACCCAGCCACCGCAGCCACUCCACCGAGGCUAGAGUCCAGAUCCUUCCAACCCAAAAACCCUAGACGCCGCCGCGCGCCAGCACCUCCGCCGCCGCGCCCAGCUCCCUCGCUCGCCUCGGCCCGCGGGGAUGGAGCACGACGCGCCGCCCGCCCCCUCGCACCACGCCCAGGACGACGGCGCCGUGGACGACUGGGCGCGCGACGACGCGGAGCCGUCCGAUCGGCACGCCGCCCCCGCGGAGGAGAGCCCCGAGGCCGCGGACGCCCCCGCCGCCCCCGCGCCACCAGCCGAAGGUGUCAAUGACAUUCAGUCAUCACUUCAGUCGUUGGAGUUGAAGACAAAUGCUGCUGCGCAUGAGGAUGUUCAAAUGGUAGCAGAUGAGGAAGAGGAAGCAAAGCGCCAUAUAAAUUUGGUUUUCAUCGGCCAUGUUGAUGCUGGGAAGUCGACUGCUGGAGGGCAAAUAUUGUUCUUGAGUGGUCAAGUUGAUGACCGGACCAUCCAGAAAUAUGAAAAAGAAGCAAAGGAUAAGAGCCGAGAAAGUUGGUAUAUGGCUUAUAUUAUGGACACAAAUGAGGAAGAGCGACUCAAGGUAUCUCUUCAUUAUGGCUGCUUAAUGAUCAGUGUGUUGAAGCUCUACAGUUCUUUUAUACUUUCUCUUGCAUGUGUUCAGGGGAAGACUGUUGAAGUUGGUAGAGCCCACUUUGAGACUGAAAAUACAAGAUUCACUAUCUUAGAUGCACCGGGCCAUAAAAGUUAUGUUCCAAAUAUGAUUAGUGGUGCAUCUCAAGCUGACAUUGGUGUUCUGGUCAUAUCUGCUCGGAAAGGUGAAUUUGAAACUGGUUAUGAAAGAGGAGGCCAGACUCGUGAACAUGUACUGCUUGCAAAAACUCUAGGUGUUGCUAAGUUGGUAGUUGUCAUCAACAAGAUGGAUGAACCUACAGUACAAUGGUCAAAAGAAAGGUAUGAUGAAAUUGAAGGGAAAAUGAUUCCUUUUCUCAGAUCUUCAGGGUACAAUGUUAAGAAAGAUGUCCAGUUCUUGCCUAUUUCUGGUCUUUGUGGAGCCAAUAUGAAGACCAGAAUGGAUAAAAGCAUUUGCAGUUGGUGGAACGGUCCUUGCCUUUUUGAAAUUCUGGACAAAAUCGAAGUUCCUUUGCGUGAUCCCAAAGGUCCAGUAAGGCUGCCAAUUAUUGAUAAAUAUAAAGAUAUGGGCACAGUCGUAAUGGGAAAAUUAGAGAAUGGGACUAUCAGAGAGGGUGAUAGUUUGUUGGUUAUGCCAAACAAGACCCAUGUGAAAGUCACUGGUAUAAACUUGGAUGAGAAGAAAGUACGACGUGCUGGACCCAAUGAGAAUGUACGUGUCAAAGUGUCUGGAAUUGAAGAGGAGGAUAUCAUGGCAGGUUUCGUACUUUCAAGUGUUGCUAAUCCUAUUGGUGCUUUCACUGAAUUUAAUGCCCAGCUGCAGAUUCUAGAGUUGCUUGAUAAUGCUAUUUUCACUGCUGGUUACAAGGCAGUGUUACACAUCCACUCUGUUGUUGAGGAGUGUGAGAUUGUUGAUCUCAUAGAGGAAAUUGACAUGAAGAAAGCGAAAGUAACUGACCCAAAGAAAAAGAAGACCAAGAGGAAGCCUCUUUUUGUGAAGAAUGGUGCAGUUGUAGUUUGCCGUGUCCAGGUGACUAAUUUGAUAUGCAUAGAGAAGUUCUCUGAUUUCCCUCAGCUUGGAAGGUUUACUCUACGAACUGAAGGCAAGUAUACAUGCUAUGGAAGAUUCUUUCCCUUUCUGUGUUACUACAAUAGUAUGAUUGCUGUUGGGGGGAUGAAACCGGAACCAGCUUUAUUCUAGUUCACCUGGAAAUUUGUCUGGUUACCUUGAGAUUUGUUAACCUUGCACUCCUGCAAUAGAGUACACUAUGCAACCAAAGAACCAAAUAAACUUAAUCUAUCUGGAUUCCGUUCCCCUAUUUCAUGCUAAUCCCGCUGUUGGUUUAUAACUUGUUAAUGAAUCUUUUUGGCUGGUCUUGCAGGGAAGACAAUAGCUGUAGGCAAGGUUGUUGAUGUUCCUCCAGUUGGCAGGUCAACGUUUUCAGCUUAAGCCAAUCUUGACAGGAUGAUGGGAGAAUGAAGUGGCGCUGUCUCGAAAUAGGUUUUGGAAGCAGUGAGAUCGAUUUUUCCAGCCAGGCUCCAUGAGUCACUUAGCAUUAGUUUAUUGCUGAGGUCCCUUUAUUGAGUUGGGGUGUAUAAGUGUUGUAGCUCUGGUCACAUGUUUUAGAGGUUGUAAAAUCAGUGUGGUUAUAUGUUCCCGCUACCCAAUCUGAUAUGACAAUAUAACACAAGGUGUACUGUACCCGAUCUUUUUUCCUCCA